AACGAGCGCUGGCGGCAUGCCUAACACAUGCAAGUCGAACGAGACCUUCGGGUCUAGUGGCGCACGGGUGCGUAACGCGUGGGAACCUGCCCUUAGGUUCGGAAUAACUCCCCGAAAGGGGUGCUAAUACCGGAUAAUGUCUUCGGACCAAAGAUUUAUCGCCUUUGGAUGGGCCCGCGUUGGAUUAGCUAGUUGGUAGGGUAAAAGCCUACCAAGGCGACGAUCCAUAGCUGGUCUGAGAGGAUGAUCAGCCACACUGGGACUGAGACACGGCCCAGACUCCUACGGGAGGCAGCAGUGGGGAAUAUUGGGCAAUGGGCGAAAGCCUGAUCCAGCAAUGCCGCGUGAGUGAUGAAGGCCUUAGGGUUGUAAAGCUCUUUUACCCGGGAUGAUAAUGACAGUACCGGGAGAAUAAGCUCCGGCUAACUCCGUG
rnacentral:rRNA from 1 species